AGGAAUAUUGGUCAAUGGGCGCGAGCCUGAACCAGCCAAGUAGCGUGAAGGAUGAAGGUCCUAUGGAUUGUAAACUUCUUUUAUAGCAGAAUAAAGUGACCCACGUGUGGGUUUUUGUAUGUAUGCUAUGAAUAAGGAUCGGCUAACUCCGUGCCAGCAGCCGCGGUAAUACGGAGGAUCCGAGCGUUAUCCGGAUUUAUUGGGUUUAAAGGGUGCGUAGGCGGAAAGAUAAGUCAGCCUGUGAAAGUUUGCGGCUCAACCGUAAAAUUGCAGUUGAUACUGUUUUUCUUGAGUGUACAUAAGGUAGGCGGAAUUCGUGGUGUAGCGGUGAAAUGCUUGGAUAUCACGAAGAACUCCGAUUGCGAAGGCAGCUUACCGGGGUACAACUGACGCUGAUGCACGAAAGUGUGGGUAUCAAACA
rnacentral:rRNA from 1 species